AGCAGCCGCGGUAAUUCCAGCUCCAAUAGCGUAUAUUAAAGUUGUUGCAGUUAAAAAGCUCGUAGUUGAAUUUCGGGAUCAAUAUAUUGGUCAUGCUUAGGUAUGUACUGGUAUUAUUGAUUUCUCCCUUCUGAAGAACCAUGAUGUCAUUAAUUUGAUGUCGUGGGGAAUCAGGACUGUUACUUUGAAAAAUUAGAGUGUUUAAAGCAGGCUUUCGCUUGAAUACAUUAGCAUGGAAUAAUGAAAUAGGACGUUUGAUUCUAUUUUGUUGGUUUCUAGGAUCGACGUAAUGAUUAAUAGGGAUAGUUGGGGGCAUUAGUAUUCAAUUGUCAGAGGUGAAAUUCUUGGAUUUAUUGAAGGACUAACUACUGCGAAAGCAUUUGCCAAGGAUGUUUUCAUUAAUCAAGAACGAAAGUUAGGGGAUCGAAGACGAUCAGAUACCGUCGUAGUCUUAACCAUAAACUAUGCCGACCAGGGAUCGGAUGAUGUUAAUUUUUAAUGACUC
rnacentral:rRNA from 1 species